ACCUGAACAUCCACCACCCUGCUACCAAACAAAACGGCAGAUAAUUUAACAGUCAAGUUUACACAAAUGAAUAUAGAACUUUGCAUUUUUGUUUUAUUAAUAUUAACCAUUUCUCACA